AAAAAAAAAAAAAAAUUAAAUGGCUGCACCGUGGCAUAUGGACAUUCCCAGGCCAGGGACUGAAUCUGAGCCACAGAUUCAACUUGCAGUUGUGGCAACACAGGAUCCUUUAACCUACUGUGCCAGGCCAGGAAUCAAACCUGCACCUCUGCAGUGACGGGAGCCACUGCACCCAGAUUCUUAACCCCCUGGGCUACAGCAGGAACUCCUGGGUAUCCAUUAAUGAUGUGCUUUAUAAAUAGAUAUCAGAUCUUCUCUUUUGGCAAUGUAAAAUUGCCACGACAUUUGCUUCCAAAAGAGUUCUGUUUUUACUUUCUCUUAAAACCUGUCAGUGAGAGUAGGUUCACCUUCAGUCAUUACAGCUCAUGUCCUUGGAAAUUACUGUGAAGUGUCUGAAUAUUGUGCGCAGCUUCCCUUGAGCUCUGACCUCAUGCCAAGCACUCGUCUAUCUGUUCAGAUUUGCAAUGAUUAUAAAUGGCUUUUAUUAAUUUAUUUACAACCAUUUCGGUUCAACUUUUUUUUUUUUUAUAUUUUCAGUACUUUAUGUAUUUUUUAGUAUUUCACUAUUUUCAGUAUUUUUUAAUGUGGAUUACAAAGAUCUAACAAUCUCGGGCAUUAACAUAAUUAAGAAUAUCAAUAGCUGUGUCAUCAAUAAAGACUUUUUUUAAAGAAGAACGGUGUUAAGUUUGAAACCAUAAAGUAGGAGUUCCCCUUGUGGCUCAGCAGUAACAAACCCAGCUAGUAUCCAUGAGGACAUGGGUUCAAUCCCUGGCCUUGCUCAGUGGGUUAAGGAUCUGGCAUUACUGAGAUGGCUGCGGUUGUAGGUUGCAGAUGGGGCUUAGAUCCUGUGUUGCUGUGGCUGUGGGCUCCAAUUCAACCCCUAGCCUGGGAACUUCCAUAUGCUGUGGGCAUGGCCCAAAAAAAAAAAAAAAGAAAAAGAAAGAAAACAGAAAGUAGCAGUAUGUAUGUUAGCAAAGGGGAGGAGAAAUGAAGCUCAGAGCUAAGGGCGUGGAAUGAGUAGAGAAAUGGAAUUAAGUGUGGACUGCUUAGAAUCCUUUGACGGCUCCUAAAUUGGCAUUCUUAAAAGUUCACAAUAUCUGACUGAAACCAAGCUCUCUUCUUCAUCUUGCGUCGUUCCUUUAUUUAAAUUUUUUGCAGGUUAAAGAACUACGAUGUUUAUUUAUUUAUUUAUUUUGCUUUUUAGGGCCGCACCUUCGGCAUAUGGAGGUCCCCAGGCUGGGGUCUAAUCAGAGCUGCAGCUGCUGGCCUGCUCCACAGCCACAGCAACGACAGAUCCAAGCCACGGAUGCGACCUACACCACAGCCGAUCGCAACCCGGGAUCCUUAACCCACUGAGCCAGGCCAGGGAGCAAACUCUCGACCUCAUGGUUCCUGGUUAGAUUCGUUUCCGCUGUACCAUGACGGGAACUCCUACAAUUUUAUUUUGCUAUUGUAAUUUAGACUAUUUCUCACUUUUAAUCUAGACCAUUAAGAGCCUUAGCAUUUUUAUUUUAUUUAUUGUGAUAGAAUUGACACACAUCACUGUGUAGGCUUGCACUAUGCUUCCUAUAAGGAGUGUCAGCUAACACCUUUAUUACAUCCCACAGCUUAUUUCUUUUUGUGUAUUGAGAACAGUUAACAUCUAGUCUCUUAGCAGCUUUGAAGUUUAUGAUACAGCCUUGUUGACUGUAAUCAUGAUGUGGUCCUUAGCUUCCCCAGCAUUGAUUGACCUGGAGUUGCAAACGGCCCUUCCUUUCAAGCAGCUAAACUCCUGCCAUGCCAAAUCACUCACCUUCAUCCCUGCACAUACUCUGACCUUGGGCUCAGGUCAUCUAUCCCCUGUGUCAUCUUCCUUGGUUCUCUGAUCGAUACGGAAUGUGCGGCUCUUGCCUUGAACUUCCUUAGAACUUCGUAUGUGCUCCUAAUGCGACACCUAGCACAUAGUUCUGUGAUUUGUUCAGAGAUCUAUUACACUCCAUAGGUUGGGUGACCUUUAAAGCCAGGUUUUAUGUAUUUAAUGUGUCAUGCUUAUAAAUGGCAAACAGUUGCUUGCUGAAUAUUUGAAUUGAAAUGCAUUGAGCAUGACAUGUUUGAAAAAAAUGUUUUUUUUUUUAUGUGCAGGGGAUCCAGUGAAGUGCACCUAAAACACAUUACAUGAGGAACUAUUAAAAUAAAAUGAAACUCAGGGGGUCUAGGAACUUGGCUGGAAAAAUAAUUAAUCUAUAUUUUCAUUAUCUUGAAUUGAGUAUUUAAUUAUCCUUGACACCUCACCAAUAUGACACCAAGCAAUGUCAUAUUGGCAGUAUCUCUGACUUUGGCAUCUGUAGAUAUUACAAAUAUAUUUGUAUCAUAUCAGUUGUCUGAGAUUCUUUCCAUAUUGUUUAAAGUCACUUAUUACAAAUUAGGGUAAUUAUUAGGCUGCUGCUAAAUCCAUCGAUGAAGACACAUAUGUUUCUGUAUAGAUUUAAAAGAAUAUCUUAAUUUUUGAUAUAAUUGUUUUCCUUUGUAAUCCUACAUAUUUUACUUUAGGAAUUUUAGAGCCUCAUUAUGGGAAAGGGUUCAUGGGCCCUUCUACAGAUGGCUGAAGGGGUAUUUGUCACAACAAUGGUUGGGAUCAUUUGUGUUGUAGGCUCAGUGAGGACAGUAUUUAUGAGCAAUGUUGGCAGUAUCCUUGCAAGCCAAGGUCAGGGGAAUGGUAUUUUAGGAUGUCCUUGCUGAGGUAAUGAAUUUCGAAUUGCACACUCGAAUAUUCCAGAAUACUACUGACCAGAAAUUGGUUUGGUGAAAUCGUUCUUUUAGGCAAUUGGGUCUGGUUAUUCUACAGAGGAUGGAUUGGAAGGUUCAGCUCAUUUAGGCAUUUAUCAUAGCCCACGUAUGAGAUGAGGAGGCCUGGUCAAAGAUGGUUGGCCAUUAGGAUUUAAGAUGAAGAUGUGGCCUGAACCACACAAGAUGUGAACUAGAAGAAGUAGAUAGAGAUGAGCCAUGAAAGUGCUCAUUUGUAUAGAAAUGAGCAGGAGUUCAGUUUUGAUGAUAUUUGUUUGCGCUGACAUAAAAAUCUUGUUAGGUUUAGAUGCUAGUUUGGUGUUUCUGUGUGAGGCUAGGGAUUUGAAAACUGCCUUUAUAGAGAGAAGAGCUGAAGUGAAAGAACAAAGUAGUUCAUCACUAGCGAGAGCAGAACGAGAGAAGAGGCUGAAAGGUAGGCAGGAAGACUCAGGUUCAACAGAAAGUUCUCAGCUUCCUACCUCUCAGGAGUAACCAGUCAUCUCUGCCCAGCAUUUACCCUCUGUGGCAUUGGGGUAUGAAGGACAGGCUGGGCUCCUGGCUCACACAUAUUUUAAAAGAGAGCUAUGCUGCCCAGGAAGGGCCAGGGUUCUGCAGUGGCCUCAACUCAUGAAGCUUAAGGCAAGUAAUUCCUUUGCCUGUUUGUACCCUGAAAGGCCAAGUCCGUGCCCAUUGUUUCUGAACUCAUGAGGAGCUUGACUGUUUCUCUGGCCUGUCCUCACUUCCUACAGCUCUCACAGCAUCCGAAUCCUACUUUUGUUUUGGCUAAAGGUACUUACUCUGGCUGAUUGAUCACUUAUGUUCCUUUUUUUUUUCUUUCAUUUCAUGCUCUGUUCUCCAGGGUUUUCUGUUGUCUACCAGAUAAGCUGUGGGUCUUUUCCAGAGUGUCUGAUUUUAUAGUCUUAUACUAAUUCUUUCAAGCUUUUAAACUUUGUUACCAGGAUACUGAAAGCCUCAAACCUCCAUAAUUAGUGCUCCCCUAAUUUGUUCCUUUCGUGAAAGUUUAAGGAACCAUCCAAUGUCUGAUCUGUAACAUUUCUCCGAUCAGUUAAUGGUCCAUGUUUAUUUUUGAAUUUUUUUACUAUAGCUUUUCUAGAAAUUUAAAUCUUUUGUUCAUAAAGCUCUGCUCUCAUAAAGAGGCACUGAAGCUUUAUUCUUCUGCCAUUACUGUCUCUGAAACCAUUCAUUUGCUGACAUUUUAUUUUGAAUUAUCAUAUAAAUUUUGACUGAAACUUGAUCCACCUAUAAAGAUCUUCAAAAGCAUUCAUAUGAAGCAGGAAGGACGGUAACCUACUUAGCAGACCACAUCUGGAAUACCAAUUCCCCUUAGGUCCAUGCCAAUUUCAAUGAUGAACUAACCCCAAAAGCAGAGUUUAAUAAAACACAAUAUCCAUUUCAUUUCAUUAGUCAGUUUUUAUGUAAUUAAACUAGAAGCCAGUUACAUUCUGCAUAUGAUGUUGAAUGUUUCUUAGAUGAUCUAGUAAUUUUAAGUAGACUAUAAACCCUGAAUCCUCUUAAAACUGCUGUUUUUUGAAUGAGUACCAGUAUGCUGUAUCUUAUUUUUCCUCUGCUGACCCUAAAAUGGAAAUGAUGACAGAAUAACCUGAAAUGGAUUAUCAUGAAUUUUUAAAUAGCUAUUGACUUGUUUUCCAUGGAUACACAUCAAAGAUAUGCUGAUAACUCUGUAAUUCAAUGCAACUUGCUUUUUUUUUUUCAAUAAGACUUUAUUAUUUUAGAGCAGCUUCAAGUUCAUUGCCAAAUUGAGCAGUAAUACAGAGGCUCCUCCUAUAUCCCCCACCCUCACACAUCUAUAACCUUCCUAUCAUCAACAUCCCCCAGCAGUGUGGUACAUUUGUUACGACUGAUGAAUCUACAUCAUAAUCAUCCAAAGUCCAUAGUUUUUAUCAGGAUUUACUUUUGGUGUUUUAUAUUCCAUGGAUUGGGCAAAUGUCUAAAGAGGGGUAGCCAUCAUUGUGGUGUCAUACAAAGUAUUUUCACAGCCCUAAAAUUCUCUGUGUUCCACCGAUCCCUCCCUCCCCACAACCCCUGACAGGUAGUGAUCUUUUUACUGUCUCCACAGUUUUAUCUUUUCCAGAAUGUUCUGUAGUUGGGAUCCUACAGUAUAUAGCCUUUUCAGAUUGGCUUCUCAUACUUAGACAUACGUAUUUAAUUUUCCUCCAUUUUUUUUUUUUUUCAUGGCUUGAGAGCACAUUACUUUUUCAGUGUUGAGUAAUAGCCCAUUGUCUGGCUGUACUGCAGUUUAUUUAUCUCUUUACCUGCUGAAAGACGUCUUGGCUAUUUCCAAGUUUUGGCAAUUAUGAGUAAAGCUUCUCUGAACAUCCAUGUGCAGAUGUUUGUGUGGGUAUAAGUUUUCAACUUCUUUGAAAGAGCAUAAUUGCUGGAUCAUAUGGUAAGAUUAUGUUUAGUUUUAUAAGAAACCGUCAAACUGCUUUCCAAAGUAGCUCUACCAUUUUGCAUUCCCACUUGCCAUGAAUGAGAAUUCCUGUUGUUUCAUGUCCUUGUUAACAUGUGGUAUUAUCAGUGUUCUGGAUUUAGGCCAUCCUAAUAGGUGUGUAAAGGUCUCUCACUGUGGUUUUAAUUUGCAUAUCCCUAAUGGCAUAUGUUGGGAAGCAUCUUUUCAUAUGCUUAUUUUCCAUCUGCAUAUCUUCUUUCGUGAAGUGUCUGUUAAGGUAUUUGGCCCGUUUUUUAGAUUGAGUUGUUUACUUUCUUACUGUUGAGUUUUAAGGGUUCUUUGUAUAUUUUGGAUAACAGUCUUUUAUCAGACGUGUCUUUUGCAAAUAUUUUCUCCCCAUCUGUGGCUUGUCUUCUCAUUCUUUGACAUUGUCUUUUGCAGAGUAGAAGGUUUUCAUUUUAAUGAAAUACAGUGUAUCAAUUAUUUCAUUCAUGGGUGCAGCGUGCUUUUUAACCAGAUAUCUAACAUGUAUCUUUUCUAAGAUGCAUAGAGAUGUUUAAUGCCAUUCACAUUCCCAGAUACCUAAUUCUCUGGGUUUGUGUCAGCAUGUUUGCACAUGAGUUUUGUUUUGUUUUUUUCCUUCUGGUGGAGAAUUUUCUUUAUGGACUAAAUUAUCAGACUAUCUGACUCAAAUUUUGCACGUUCAUUCACAGUUGAUAGCCUUUCUCAUACAUAUGCUUUUUCCUCAUCAGAGUCUUAUAGAUCAUUAACUCUGGAGGAAUCCUUUUAUAAAUAUUUUCACCUCAGGGUAGGGAUUUGGAGGGAAGGAAGGAAACUUUCCUAAUUUGUUCUUUUUGGAUGGAAGAAAUAGAUUUAGGUGGCAAAAUAAGUGACAGAUGCAUAGUAUGGGUUCAAUAAAUGGUAGAUUAAAAAUAUUAUGGUCGUUAGUUUAUAAUUUUCCUGAGCCAGCCACGAUUGUCUUGUUCCAAUGCCUAGCAUUCUUCUUAGCAUGUAGGCUUUUGUCUUAGGUAGAGUUCUUUAGAAGCAAACUCCAAGAUAAGGGUUUGUGUGCCAACAAUUAAUUAAAGAAGUUCUCCCAGGAGACACUGGUAAAGAAUUGGGGAAAGUGGAACGAGAAGAAAAAUACAAGGACAUGUGGGAUUCAGGCAAAGGUUACCCGCAGAGGUGAUCUGAUGCUCUGGAGAGUAAAUCAUCCCUCAGAGCACUCCCAACCCAAGACAGGGGAGAUGCCAACCAUCAUCCCUGUCAAACACUGAGGGAAACAUGGGGAUGGUGGGCAGAAUAAUGGCCUCUGGAGAUUUUCAUGCCCUAAUCUCUAGAACCUAUGAAUGCAUUCCCUUCUCUGCAAAGGCACUUUUGCAGAUGUGAUUAGGGGUAUAGACUUUUAGAUAGGGAGAUUAUCCUGGAUUAUCCAGAGGAGCCCAAUCUAAUUCAUAGGAAUCCUUAAAAAAAAAUCCUUUCCCAGCUAAGAGAGAGAUGUGAUGACAGAAGAAGGAAAAGAGAAAAGUGAUAUUAUUGACUCUGAAGAAGGAGGAAGAGGGUCAAUGAGCCAAUGAAUGUGGGAGGUCUUGAGAAGCUGGAGAAGGCAAGGACAUGGAUUCUCCCCUAGAGCUUUGAGAAGGAACUCCAGCCUCGCAACAUCCAGAGAGAACCGUGUCUGACUGUUACCAACUGUAAAGUAAUCAUUUGCAUCUUAAGCCACCAAGUUUGGGAUAAUUUGUUAUGGCAGCAACAGAUAACUAAUAUGGCCACACGAACUUCUAGUCACUUCAAGUUCUCUGCUCUCUGCUCUUAUGUGCAAAGCAACUCCAGUGGCCUACGGGAAAUUCUCCAAAGAACCUUUGCAGGUACAGGAAUUGGAGGCAAAAGUACACCAAAGUAGGAUGAACAUAAAAAUGGCAAAAGGGACCCCUGGAGAUCUGGAGAGCCCCCAACAGUGUUUGCUGCUGUGCUCAGUAAGUAUUCAUUACCCGAAUGGAUGGAUGAAUAAAUAAUUGAAUAAAGAAGUUUAUGUAAACUACUGGAGCAGAGAGAUUGUGUAAGAAAUGGUUUCUUGUCACAGGUAGACAUGUUGGCAGUUGCCAUUCGAAGAGUGUAUUUGGCAAUAAACACAUUCUUCUACAUGUAAUGCCUUUCCCUUGUUUUUUAGGUUUCCAAGAGGCCAGUGGAUUGAAAUAGUAAAAGUAAUAAAAACGAGCAAUCUUUAAAGUUAUGUCUAUGCUGUAGAAAUCCUCCAGAAAAUUCAACAAUUCUUUAGAGAAUGUCAUUGCAGCCUAAGUACCUGACUUGUAAACUGUUGUAACUAACCAGCUGGAGAAUUCAUCAUCCUCUAGAGUAUUUGGCUUGCUUGGCAGAAAAACAAAACAAAUCUCCCUAGAAAUGAAAAAAGGAACGCUUUUAGAAGCAAAUGUUGAGACCUCAAGGUCAAGAAAAAUUGCCCAAUGGAAUAUUCUCCGCUUCUCUAUGCUUGUCCUCUCGUCUUACUCUUUCUUUUCCACCAUUUGUGCAUGAGCAAGAACUCUGAAUCGUCUUUCUUACAGUUAGAGUAAAAUCUUUAUACGUGAACAAUAGAGUCCAUAUCCAUGUAUAUAAGAGUCAGAACGAGAAACACCUGAGUAGAAUAUAAGACAUAAUGGAAAUGAAUUUGCUAACAUCCUGAAUUUAUGGACAUGAUUUCUGUCUAUUACAUGGUUUCAGAUCACCUAAACUUAACAGAUGAUUUAGAAGUUCCCUCUGUGGCACAAUGGAAUUGGCGGCCUCUUGGAAAUGCUGGGACUUGGGUUCGGUCCCCGGCCCAGCACAGUGGAUUUAGUAUCUGGUGUUGCCACAGCUGUAGCUUAGGUG
rnacentral:lncRNA from 1 species